GGGGAUUUAGCUCAGUGGUCUAAGCACCUGCCUGGCAAGCAUGAGGUUGUGAGUUUGAUCCUCAGAACCACCA
rfam:Cavia porcellus supercont2_11 genomic scaffold, whole genome shotgun sequence.